rnacentral:rRNA from 1 species
AUGGUGGAUAACAAGAAUGAUGGGUCUGAAGGGGUCAAGUUCAACACGUCGCACCUGAUGCAAACAACCGAAGAGGUUGCGAGAGCAUUUAUUGCCGCUGCUUCAGCUGCCACCGUGCAACCAACACGGCCGUCUGUCGUCUAUUCGUCUGGGGAAGAGAGUGGCAGCCCAAUGCAGAAGCUGCAGCAGCAAUUCUCGAAGAUAAUGAAAGGGUUUUCAAAUUCACCCGAAGUGUCUGGACCAUACAACCCGGAAGUUCUCACGACACACAAGCGGCAGUGGUCGAGGUUCCAGCAGAAGUCAUUGGGUAAUAGGUGCAUCAAAGAACCAUCACAUCUUUUUGAGAGCAUAGUGAUUGUUGGGCUUCCUCCUCAGGCAGAUAUCCAUGAGCUAGAAAACAUUGCUCUAGGGAGAAAUGAUGAUGAUGCAAAGAAAUCAAGACAUAUAUUUGGCAACAACCACCACCAAGUUCAUGCUGUAUCAAAUUUGGAACCUCAGGUCCUUUUUGCGUACCCCCCUGAGAGGUCUCUUCCGCUUAAGUACAAGGAUAUCGUCUCGUUCUGCCUUCCUGGAGGUGCACAGGUUAAUGCUGUUGAACGGACUCCAUCAUUCAGCGAGCUGAAUGAAAUUCUCCUAGGGCAGGAACAUCUAAAAGAAAGCAAUCAAUCUUUCGUCUUCCGUUUACAGGUUGCUGAUGAUCCUACAUUAUAUGGAUGCUGUGUAUUGGUGGAAGAGAUUGUACAAAGACCCUCAAAGCUAGUUUCGAUGCUCACGAAUGAGAAACCUGUAUUUCCACGCCGGAGUCGUUAUGUAGUAACCACGCCACGGUGUUAUUGCAUCCUGUCUAGGCUGCCAUUCUUUGAACUGCAUUUUGGGGUGCUGCAGAGUAUUCUUAUGGAAGAACGACUUGAAUGGCUCACGGAUGGUGUUAGCAUGCUAACCUCAUUAUCGCCUGAAGAGGAAUGUGAGGAUGGUGAUAUCUGUGAAGGCUCCGAAAGCGUAGGACAAGAACUGUAUUUUGGUUGUACAACAGUAGAAAAAUCCUUUGAACCAAGCGUGGAAGUUUCUCCAAAGCAGCUCUCUGACAUGGACAGCAAUUCUGAGUGUAGGGAGAACCAACUGGACUUCAUCUCCCUAGAAGUCCAACAGGAAAGUGGUUCUCCUGUCAAAGAAGAACAAAAUGUUCUUGUAACAGGAACAGCUACUCAGUGUUAUACCGCAGAAGAGUCUGACAAUUCUGUUUCAGAAGAUACAGCGACUGGUGUAUCUGGAGUUAAGCUUGAUGAACCGGAUUCCUUACCCAUCAUUCCGAAUGAAUCUGAUACCAAGGAAAAUUCUCAUGUUCUUUCACAUGAAGAUGUGAUUGAUGGAGAACUUGAUAUCUUUGUCAAUGAUACUAUCUUGCCGCUUAUACGGUCUCGCCUUAGUGAAGGAUCUGAAUCAUCACCAAGUUCCCAAGACUCUCCUUCUGAAAGCAUAAAUUUGAGAAAUGAUACCCCCGACUUGGACUUGGAGGAGCCAUCUUCCAUUGGUCAUGGAGACGUAGUCGGGUACAACAGUAUAUUGCGAUGGGCUAAGGCCAAAAAGUAUGGAUCUCUACAAGUUGUCUGUCAGUACUACCAGUUGCAGUGUCCUGUCAGGGGUUCAUCACUUAAUUUUCAUCCAUUGGAGCACCUGCACUCAUUGAAGUUUCAUCGGCCAGGUGAAACUGCUCUUCAUCUUGCCGGGUCGACUAUUGAUCUUCGGUCACGUGAUACAAGCUUAGAGGUGGCUGAGAUGCGUAAUGCACUCUUCGCUGAAGAGGAAUCGACUGCUUUAUCCACAUGGGCUGUUGCAACAAUAUGUGGAUGCCUCAGGUUGGAACAUGUAAUUACGCUGUUUGCCGCCGCGCUCCUGGAGAAACAGAUUGUUAUUGUCUGUUCUAAUUUGGGAAUGCUUUCAGCUUCAGUUUUAUCCAUAAUACCUCUAAUACGGCCAUAUCAGUGGCAGAGUCUACUCAUACCGGUUUUGCCAAAUGACAUGCUGGAUUUUCUGGACGCGCCUGUUCCAUACAUUGUUGGUGUGCAGAACAAAACACCUGAUCUGCAAUCCAGGCUAGCAAAUGCUGUGAUAAUUGAUGCCAACAAGAAUCAGAUUAAGUCUGCUUCAGUACCGCAACUUCCACAACAGAAAGAAUUGCUUUCUGCGUUGCGGCCGUAUCAUUCAAGACUUGUGGGUGAAAGUUAUCUCGCUAGGAAGCGCCCUGUCUAUGAAUGCACAGAUGCCCAGGUGGAAGCAGCCAAAGGUUUCUUGGCAGUUCUUAGAUCCCACCUUGAUUCUCUGUGCUCCAACUUAAGAUCUCACACUAUUACCAAUGUGCAAUCCAACAAUGACAAGGUUUCCUUAAUUUUAAGAGAGAGCUUCAUUGGUUCUUUUCCAGCCCGUGAUAGGCCUUUUAUGAAGCUGUUUCUGGACACACAAUUGUUCUCGGUACAUACAGACCUAGUUCUCUCCUUUUAUCAGAAGGACUGA